CCCGGAGGAGCCCUCAAGCCAAGUGGGUCCAUGAGAGAAGGAAUGAACCCCUCUGAACAGCACUGGCCAUGCCCCAAGUGCCCCUGGGAGCGCGGAGUUCAACCCACAAGAGAGAAGACGGAAGCCUUGGAAGUGAAGCUCGUCUUCUUUGUGCCAUCAAACCCACCAACCUUCCUGACCACUCCCACGUCCCCCACCUCCCGUGCCAUGGGCACCGGCUUAGUGGUUCUCAGACCUUAGGUGCAGUUCAACGAGAUAUCCAUGUAAACGUGGCGCCCCGUGAAAUUUGAGGACCGCCUCGGUGUUGCCAAA